rnacentral:rRNA from 1 species
AGAGUUUGAUCCUGGCUCAGGACGAACGCUGGCGGCGUGCUUAACACAUGCAAGUCGCGCGAUUCUCGAAGUUCGGGGUUGGGAGUUCGAACCUCGAACUUCGAACCUCGAACUUCGAGAAUAGCGGCGGACGGGUGAGUAACACGUGGAUAACCUACCCAUUAGACCGGGAUAACACCGGGAAACUGGUGCUAAUACCGGAUAAGCUCUUUAGAGUAAAAGCCUUAAAGAGGAAAGGGGAAACUCACUAAUGGAUGGGUCCGCGUCCUAUUAGCUAGUUGGUAGGGUAACGGCCUACCAAGGCGACGAUGGGUAGCCGGCCUGAGAGGGUGACCGGCCACACUGGGACUGAGACACGGCCCAGACUCCUACGGGAGGCAGCAGUGGGGAAUAUUCCGCAAUGGGGGAAACCCUGACGGAGCAAUGCCGCGUGAGUGAAGAAGGCCUUUGGGUCGUAAAACUCUGUCUUGAGGGACGAAAAAAAUGACGGUACCUCAAAAGAAAGCCCCGGCUAACUACGUGCCAGCAGCCGCGGUAAAACGUAGGGGGCGAGCGUUGUCCGGAAUUACUGGGCGUAAAGGGCGUGUAGGCGGCCUGUGUAGUCAAGUGGUGAAAACCCGGGGCUUAACUUCGGGAUGGCCCUUGAAACCAACAGGCUUGAGGACAGGAGAGGGGAGUGGAAUUUCCGGUGUAGCGGUGAAAUGCGUAGAUACCGGAAGGAACACCAGUGGCGAA